rnacentral:rRNA from 1 species
AGGAAGUAAAAGUCGUAACAAGGUUUCCGUAGGUGAACCUGCGGAAGGAUCAUUACUGAACGCACUCGAAUCCGAGUUUGACACGCAAGAGGCAAGGGGGCAAAGCGACCGCGGAUCGGGCACCGGCCGCCCACCGGUUUUCAAAGACUCGCGCCCGAUCCGGACGGCUGAGAAAUACCCUGUCGGUAUCCUGCCGCGGGGAAACGCUUUCUAUUUCCAAACCGAAAAAACGAAUGGAAAUCCUAAACGGUGGAUCACUCGGCUCGUGGAUCGAUGAAGGACGCAGCAAACUGCGCGUCGAAUUGUGAACUGCAGGACACAUGAACAUCGACGCUUCGAACGCACAUUGCAGCCCACGGAUUCUGUUCCCGGGCUACGCCUGGCUGAGGGCCGGCUAUCGAGUUCACCGACGAUUCUAGUCGCCGGCGAUUUGGGCCGGGGGCGCUCCCCGAGACAGCGGGAGGGACCCGGGCCCGUCUCGAACCGAGGGCGCACGCGGUCGGACUCGUCGUCCACCGCCGCCGAGACGCUUCGUUUUCCGAGGAGACGGCGUCCACUGGCGGUGGGGCGACGGCGGGGCGACCGUCGGGCGUGCGCCCGCGCAAAGCGAAAAAAAACACGCCGACCUCAGAGCAGGUGAGACCACCCGCUGAAUUUAAGCAUAUUAAUAAGCGGAGGAAAAGAAACUAACCAG